GUGGAAGGCAGCGUGUCCAUCAGGCCUGGAGGGCUCCCUCAUUGGCGGGCGCAGGCGCGAGGCGAGCGCUCGGUCCUUCCGCGUUCGCAGCCAAUCCCCGCGGGGUGGGCGGGGCGGGCGCGAGCCCAGCUCGGGUGGUAAAUAGAGUACAGCAGGACCCUCCCUUUAAGGUGUCCCCCGACGAAGCCUCUACACGUCGGAGCUUUCAGCAUCCCUAAAAUCACAGCGACACAGGCUAGGUCUGCACAGCAGAGGGAAAGUCACCACCGUUCCCUGCGCCUCACGGAAUGUCAUCAAGAUAGAAAGCAUUUCUGAAGAAAGUGAAAACGCAAAUAAGUUUGCCAUCGACAAGUGACUUCUGUAGCGUGAGUUCGGUCUCAUAAGAUAAGGAAAAGCUUUGUAAAAAACAAAACCAAAACCAAAAACACCCACGCGCGCAUUCAGCGACAGGUUUAGUGUGGGAUCGUGCAACCCGGAGCAACGCAGGAGGCAUUAUUGUAAACUCUGUAAAAUGAGUACUUAUCGGAAACCAUGCUGAUCGCUAAGGAGCUCUGAGAGGCAAGACUCUGGGUUCCUUUUCUGGAACUGGGAAGGCUAUUAUAAUGAUCCUAGUAAUCGGAAAUCAUUAGGAAAACUUGUAUACUGAAGCUGUAUUUAUAUUCGCUGCCCUUGAGAGGCUGCCGAUCUGUGUUCUGCAAUGUAGGUGGCAAAGUAAGGUGAUUAAUUAUGCACAAAUCGUGAUUUCUGGUGUCACAUUCCAGCGCCUGCUGUAUUUUUAAAUUUUUGUAUAGGUAGGUGGCCCCAGCCAUUGGUCGCUAUCUUCACACUAUUUAAGAAAAAAAAAAUCUGUCAGGUACCAGGUUGGGAAUCUUUUCAGCACUAGGACUGGAGGCAGCUUCAGUUUGUGUCUCCCCCGCCCUUUUUUUUUCUAGACAUAUUUUAAGACCUCAUUCCUGCGGUCUAAAUAAAAAGUUUGCAGUUAUUUACUCAAAUCCUUUUCAGUAAAUUCACACAUAAUUCUAGCUUAAGACUACAGUAAAUGUGUGUUUUGA
rnacentral:lncRNA from 1 species